rfam:Rattus norvegicus chromosome 1, whole genome shotgun sequence.
GGGGAUUUAGCUCAGUGGUAGAGCGCUUGCCUAGGAAGCGCAAGGCCCUGGGUUCGAUCUCCAGCUCCG